AGGUUAUGAUUUGGGCAUUUCCUUAGCAAGUCAUUGAAUCGCUCUCGUGCAUCAAAUAGUGAUUCAAUAUCCAUUUGUACAUAAGCUGUAAUCUCCUUAUGCAACUU